rnacentral:tRNA from 1 species
GGUUGUAGCUCAGUGGUAGAGUGCUUGCCUAGCAUGUGCAAGGCGCUGGGUUCAAUCCUCAGCACCA